rnacentral:piRNA from 1 species
UAGUCAAACCUAUGGUAACCCUGUCUCAAAA